UCAUUUUUUGUUUCCUCACUUGAUGUUGGGAUGCCUAUUAAAUACAGUUUUUUUAAAAAAAUUGAAAUGUUUUUGGGUCUGUCUUAGUCAGGAGAAAGAGUCCAAGAAGCUUCCACGAAGUAUCUAGAGUCCAGUGAAGUUGUUGAUUCUCUCACCGAAAUUCUGGUUGCUUUGAAUGAGAAGAAUGACAAGCCUACGUCUACUUUUGAAAUCAUUUAGCAAAAGCUAGGAGGUCCUUCAGUCUCUGACUACGAGAAGCUUCACGCUGAGAAGUCUGAACUUCAAAUAAAAUACAAUGAUCUUUUGGUUAAACAGCCGGGCACCUUCACAGAGGUAUCAUAUCAUUAAACAGUCUAUAUAGUAGGACAUGAUUCCAUUCUGAUGUAGCUCCUUAGUACUGGUUUUACCAUAGUUUUUCACCAUCCAUAAGCAGUCCAUAUAUCUCGAGUAUCUAACUUUAUCCACAGCUCAGUUUGGUCAUGUACGAGCUCAUAGGGUUUAAUUAGUUUGGCAUAUUCUAUUUGUGGUCAUUGUUACAAUUAGACACAGUGAAGAGCCUGCAUUCACGAAACUCUUCAGUAGAUGAUGUAAACAGAGACGCCAUUGAAGACAAACACACUGGCACCUGUGGCUGAUUUUGUAUCUGUACAUGUAGUUCUCAUUGCAAUAGCUUUUUUUGUUUUAAAUCUCCAGUGUACUUUUAGUUUCAUAUAUGCACGUA